UACGGGGGUGCGAGCGUUGUCCGGAAUCCCUUGGCGUAAAGGGCGCGUAGGUGGCGUCGUCAGUCUGUGGUGAAAGCCCGGAGCUCAACUCCGGGUCUGCCGCGGAUACUGCGAGGCUUGAGUGCUGUAGAGGGGGGUAGAAUGCCGGGUGUAGCGGUGGAAUGCGUAGAGAUCCGGCAGAAGACCGGUGGCGAAGGCGGCCCCCUGGGCAGUAACUGACACUGAGGCGCGACAGCGUGGGGAGCAAACAGG
rnacentral:rRNA from 1 species